GACGAACGCUGGCGGCGUGCCUAAUACAUGCAAGUCGAACGAGAGCGACCGGUGCUUGCACUGGUCAAUCUAGUGGCGAACGGGUGAGUAACACGUGGGUAACCUGCCCAUCAGAGGGGGAUAACAUCCGGAAACGGAUGCUAAAACCGCAUAGGUCUUCGAGCCGCAUGGCUUGAAGAGGAAAAGAGGCGCAAGCUUCUGCUGAUGGAUGGACCCGCGGUGCAUUAGCUAGUUGGUGAGGUAACGGCUCACCAAGGCCGUGAUGCAUAGCCGACCUGAGAGGGUGAUCGGCCACAUUGGGACUGAGACACGGCCCAAACUCCUACGGGAGGCAGCAGUAGGGAAUCUUCCACAAUGGACGCAAGUCUGACGGAGCAACGCCGCGUGAGUGAAGAAGGUUUUCGGAUCGUAAAACUCUGUUGUUAGAGAAGAACAAGUGCUAGAGUAACUGUUAGCGCCUUGACGGUAUCUAACCAGAAAGCCACGGCUAACUACGUG
rnacentral:rRNA from 1 species